UGGGGAAUAUUGCACAAUGGGCGAAAGCCUGAUGCAGCAACGCCGCGUGAGUGAUGAAGGCCUUCGGGUUGUAAAGCUCUGUCUUCUGGGACGAUAAUGACGGUACCAGAGGAGGAAGCCACGGCUAACUACGUGCCAGCAGCCGCGGUAAUACGUAGGUGGCAAGCGUUGUCCGGAUUUACUGGGCGUAAAGGAUGCGUAGGCGGAUACUUAAGUCAGAUGUGAAAAUCCCGGGCUUAACUUGGGAACUGCAUUUGAAACUGGGUAUCUAGAGUGCGGGAGAGGAAAGUGGAAUUCCUAGUGUAGCGUUGAAAUGCGUAGAGAUUAGGAAGAACACCAGUGGCGAAGGCGACUUUCUGGACCGUAACUGACGCUGAGGCAUGAAAGCGUGGGGAGCAAACA
rnacentral:rRNA from 1 species